GGAAAGUCAUACACAAGGCUCAGGGCCACCCUCAAGGUUCUGUCAGCCUGCCCCUCCCUCCUGGGAUUGCCUCUCCCAGCCAGGCCUCCCCAGUCUGGGUCUGGAAAUGACCCUGCUUUGGGUCACAUGAGAGCAGAAACCUGGCGCAGGGAGGGAUCAAUUACAUUGUGACUCAGCGAGAGGGCACAGAGCCAGGCAGUGAGUCACAGAGCUCGCCCACCCUUCCCCUUCCCCGGGAGGGGCUGCGCCAUGCAGACCUGUGUGGGAGCCUCCCCUGGGUCUGGGCGUGCAGAUGUAUGGGUGCAGGCCCCCCAACAGUGGGAAGGCGAUGGUCGGUGUGCGCUACGGUGUGGACCCCUUCCUAAUCCUGAAUGCAGGAAUUUAUUACCUCUUCAUGACGAUCACAGGCAAUGUUAUCAUGCCCAUGUUUCGGAUGACGAAGCUGAGGCUCUCAGAGCAGGACUCCUAUGGCCAGCUUCGUAGCCACCGCCUCCUGGUCAAGCUCUUGUCAGCAUCCAGCUCCUGGGUGAGUGAGCAGGAGGGGUCCACUCAAGGAGGUGAGUCUGAGGCCCCCAGAUAACACCUCUUUGAAGAUCUAGCCUAGUGUAAAUGUCCUGCAGUCUCAUCGUCUUGAGCCCCUGUCCAGUUGGGUUCUUCCUGUCCCAUCCAGCCACCUCAUUCCUUCAUGUCACCUGCACAGCCUGUGGACACUGAGUUUCUUAACCCCAGCACGAUCUGAAGGAUUGCGUGUUAGACUGAGGAGGUCUGGCAGCGGCAGCUGGGAAAAUUAAAACUAGAGAGCCCUGUAGAAGCUGUGGAUCCAGCAUCAUUAUCAGCGAAAUUGUGGCUGUGAUAAAGCAACGUUUACCUACAGCAUUGUGUGUGUGAUAACUACAACUUACUAUUCCAGUUUCUAAAGUGAGCCAAGUCUCUGAAAACCUCAGGGCUCAUGUACAUUAAAUUAACAUAAUUAAAAACUAAUUAGUAAAACAUCACAAUUAAAAGGACUCGCUGUGGCAACACCUCUCAGGUAAGAAGGUGCUGGGGAGGGCCGGCAGCCAGUACAGGGGGCAGGCCCCAGGAAGAGGCCGUGAUGUGGGCCCAUCCUCCCAGAAGGCUUCCCGCACCCCGGAGCACCUUGAGAAACAGUUCUGCAGCAAGUGAGGACAUCUCCUGCGGGUCCAAC
rnacentral:lncRNA from 1 species